rnacentral:rRNA from 1 species
AGGUCCCAAGGGUUCGGCUGUUCGCCGAUUAAAGUGGUACGUGAGCUGGGUUUAGAACGUCGUGAGACAGUUCGGUCCCUAUCUGCCGUGGGUGUUCGAGACUUGAGAGGAUCUGCCCCUAGUACGAGAGGACCGGGGUGGACGGAUCUCUGGUGGACCUGUUGUCGCGCCAGCGGCAUAGCAGGGUAGCUAAAUCCGGAAGGGAUAACCGCUGAAAGCAUCUAAGCGGGAAGCCCACCUUAAAACUAGGUCUCGCUUGAGAGCCGUGGAAGACCACCACGUUGAUAGGCCGGGUGUGGAAGCGCAGUAAUGUGUGAAGCUGACCGGUACUAAUGGCUCGAUUGAUCUUGA